CGUGGUGUGUGUCAGUUGGUAGAGCACAUGCUUAACAUUAGUCUUUCCGUUUACUAAACGCAUGUUGUCGUCGGUUCGAGCCCGGCCAGAGUCA